UUAAAACCCCAAAAAUAUUUUCCUUUCUUUUUUUGUUAUUCAUUUUCAUGUUAUAAUUAUUCUUUCUCCAAAUACUGUUCACUGGCGUACUUAGCUCAUCGAAGUAUGAGACGGGAAAUUGCGUUGCAGUGGACCGGGAUAACGCUACAAUUCAGCAUCCUCUCUCAGCCUACUAACUUGCUAUCGUGGAAGACUUUAGCUUGUCAGGUACUAGCGACCCCAGUGACCGCAUAACGAGUAAGCUUCGUUGCCGUGGCUCUCUGGAUACUGGAUAGCUCGACUGGCAGCCAGUCGGCAGAGGAGUCGACCAGUCAACGUACGGUGUGAUGCAGACGUCUGGACGGAGGAGCAGUCAAGUUGGAAUGGGUUCCUAGAGGUUUUGGCGCCUCCAGUGUCAACAGUUUGUCACAACUGUUUGAGGUUUACUACAAAAUCACCAUCUACUCUUUUAAUUCCUACUUAAUGGGGCUCGCAAUUCUUCUUAAAGCCCUGUAAAUCAUAGGGCCCGCCCUUCCCAUUCAUUCAAUGAUCUUCAGUUUCAACUGACAUCAAUCCUCUGACGCUGUCAACAAAUAAUAAUAUAUAAACAAACAUUAUUGACCUGUAUGCCAAUCCACACAACAAAGUAAUCAAUUAUGUGAAUAUUGUUGCCUGGUCAUUUGAUUAACCACCCUCUGUUUUAUCAGUGUUUGAAGCUAUAUAAUAUUUUUCUUAUGUGCAAUGUGGAAUAUACGUUCAAAGCUAUUAUAUGAAUGCAUCAUUGUGACUGGCAGGCCAGCAGAAUUCAUUAUUACUGCAAAAAUAUUUGAAGCAGUAUCUGUCUGUCUGUUCCUGGCAAAUUAGGCCUUUUUAAAACUGCAGCAUGUCUUCUCAACUGCUAGGUCUAAGAUUCAGAAAUGACUUCUAUUAUUUAUUGAUUCUUUGAGGGUGCACUUAUCUGUCCAUAACAGUCAGACUGGUUGAAUAAUGCAGAGGUGUUCCACAUGGCUCCUGCAGAAAGCCAUCUAUUCCUGACACAGUUGUAUUCCUGUCUUCGAUCCCCCAUUUUCUUGAUGGAAAUUAAACACUUUUUACAUCAUG